rnacentral:tRNA from 1 species
GCCCUGCUGGCUCAGUCAGUAGAGCAUGAGACGCUUGAUCUCAGAGUCAUGAGUUCAAGCCCCACUCUGGGCA